rnacentral:rRNA from 1 species
CAAUGGGGGAAACCCUGAAUGCAGCGACGCCGCGUGAAGGAAGAAGUAUCUCGGCUAUGUAAACUUCUAUCAGCAGGGNAAGAUAGUGACGGUACCUGACUAAGAAGCCCCGGCUAACUACGUGCCAGCAGCCGCGGUAAUACGUAGGGGGCAAGCGUUAUCCGGAUUUACUGGGUGUAAAGGGAGCGUAGACGGACUGGCAAGUCUGAUGUGAAAGGCGGGGGCUCAACCCCUGGACUGCAUUGGAAACUGUUAGUCUUGAGUGCCGGAGAGGUAAGCGGAAUUCCUAGUGUAGCGGUGAAAUGCGUAGAUAUUAGGAGGAACACCAGUGGCGAAGGCGGCUUACUGGACGGUAACUGACGUUGAGGCUCGAAAGCGUGGGGAGCAAACAGGAUUAGAUACCCUGGUAGUCCAAGGGCGAAUUC